ACCACAUUGGUCCGUGCCACACCUGCACACACGUACACACCCACGGCCCCACCAGGAGCAGAGCCACCGUGGGGGCCUGGCCUGGGGAGGGCCCGCGUGUGCACAUACUUUGGCAAGUGUGUGUGGGAUCCUGUGGAAUGUGCACAUGUGCACCAUGUGCGUGUGUGUGCGCACGUGUGCGCUCGCAUGCACCCAUGGGUCUUCCUGGGUGAGUGUGCUUUUGUGCGUGUCUAGAAGGCACCAUCUCUUUCCUCCCAACCAGUACCCUGAGCAGAGUUUGUCCCCUAAAUGAUGCUAAGCUGUGUCUUGCCAAGUCCCUGAGCCCACCCUUGGAGCGCCCAGGGUGAGGAAGUGAGCUGACCUGACCCUGGUGACUCCCUAAAGGGUGCCUGAGCUGGCCUGGGAUGGACCUGAGGAUCCAGAUGCUUCCUCCCGGGGGCUGGGGCCAGGGUCAAGGUUGGGACAGUGCCACCUCCCCGGCCCUGCUGUCCAGCGUUUCCUGAGCACUUGCUACGUGCCAGACUUCUCCUUUAACGCCGGAUGGCCACCAUUGUCCCUGACAGGUGAGCGGCCUGCUGUCAGGAGCCUCUGCGCCGGGCUCCUGGGGCUGCACACCCACCUCUGGGCCGGGCUGCCUUCCUCCACAGGGAGACAGCUUAGGGAACCCGAGAAUCCGGGGUCACCGAGUCCCCCGGCUCGGCACCUGGUUUGUGCUCCCCAUUAGCACGGAGGGAAGACGGUAGAAGAAACACUCGCCGAUUGUUUACAUAGAGGGCUUGGGGCCAUAAUUAAGUCUCCACCAAUCAGCCCUUUAUCAGCCAGGUAUCUCCAGCAGCCUCCAGAGGGGAAACAUCCCCGAGCAUCUAACAAAAGAAAGUUGGACGGGUUUUAAGACUUUUUUAAACUCCGAAGAAUAGGCCUUUGUUGCCAGCGGCCCUCCUGUGGCAGCCUGCCUGGUCCCUGGACUCCCCUGGGCCGGGGGCAGCCCCCACCCCUCCUGGGCUGAGCCCCCAGACCUCACCCGCCAGCUGUCGCCUCCAAUCGCAGCAGUCCCCCCCCCACCCCCCAACCCGGCCGCUGCGGGCAGGGCGCCAGGACCGAGGCCCUAAGGAUGUGCCCUCCUCUGCCUCAGUGCCCUCCCCACCCUGCCGGAUCCUGACCUUCCCGAGGCGGGCACCCUUGCCGGCCUGGAGCCAAACCCAGGCUGCGGUGGG
rnacentral:lncRNA from 12 species